CAGGUCAGUGGCUAUGUCGUCCGCCUGAAAAGCGGAAGGUCGCCGGUUCGAUCCCGGCCCUGGCCA
rnacentral:tRNA from 1 species